rnacentral:rRNA from 2 species
UCGGGACUUUUCCACAUUGGUUGAAACCCCUCGGAGCAUUACCCCGUGAGGGAGGAAGGCGCUUGGGUUGUAAACCUCUUUUCUCAAGGAAUAAGAAAGUGAAGGUACUUGAGGAAUCAGCAUCGGCUAACUCCGUGCCAGCAGCCGCGGUAAUACGGAGGAUGCAAGCGUUAUCCGGAAUGAUUGGGCGUAAAGCGUCCGCAGGUGGCUAUGUAAGUCUGCUGUUAAAGAGCAAAGCUUAACUUUGUAAAAGCAGUGGAAACUACAUAGCUAGAGUGCGUUCGGGGUAGAGGGAAUUCCUGGUGUAGCGGUGAAAUGCGUAGAGAUCAGGAAGAACACCGGUGGCGAAGGCGCUCUACUAGGCCGCAAGUAGAGGUCGACA